rnacentral:lncRNA from 1 species
AUGGACGGAUGGUUGACUUCUCAGGCCCGGCUGAGCAGGUAUGGAUUCUGGACACGGUGUGUAUCGGACCGAGAGAGCACAGACGUGGACAGUGACAUCAGAGAGGUGCUGGACCAGUUAAAGGAACCCAGUGGAGAGACUCGCCGCAGUGAACCUGGACUCCCGGCAGGAGAGCAGGCGGUGGCCGAGGAGGCCGCACCGACCGCCCGGACCCACCCAGCGGGGCGGGGCAGGAAGAAGAGCCGGGGAGCGAGAGACGAGGUGCGGAGAGCACGCCGCCAGCAGCAGACGGGCGAGGACGGGGACGAGGCGAGCGUGAAGAGGAGGCGGAGGAGUGCCGGUGAGGGGGACCGAAGCGCCCCCCUGGAGUCGGAGAUGAUGGGCCUCAGGGUCCGGCGUGUCUGAGGAAGAGUGACACCGUUCUGCCGCUGUUCUCAGACCUGUGUUCAGACAAGCUCUUUGCUUGUUAAGUGUUCGGAUUUAUUCAAAUCAAAAUGUGUUUUGUUAUUUUUUAUUAAAGGGUCCAGCAGAGGGCACCGUGCUGUGGGGUCUGGCACUGGAGUAAUGCCCUGCCCCGCCCGUUCUCCGGUGUCACUUUGUUGCCACUAUAGCUGCUGUUCAGCACUGACCUCAUUAUACAAAUAAAGUUUCGGUAUUUAUUACGUGC